AGAGUUUGAUCAUGGCUCAGGACGAACGCUGGCGGCGUGCAUAACACAUGCAAGUCGAGGGGUAAGGUCCCGAGUAAUCGGGAUACACGUCCGGCGCACGGGUGAGUAACGCGUAAGCAACCUACCUUCAACAGGGAGAUAGCUCCCGGAAACGGGAAUUAAUAUUCCAUAAUAUUUUUUUAUGGCAUCAUAGAAAGAUUAAAGCUCAGGCGGUUGAAGAUGGACAUGCGUGACAUUAGCUAGUUGGUAAGGUAACGGCUUACCAAGGCUACGAUGUCUAGGGGGUCUGAGAGGAUGAUCCCCCACACUGGUACUGAAGACACGGACCAGACUCCUACGGGAGGCAGC
rnacentral:rRNA from 1 species